GAUGAACGCUGGCGGCGUGCCUAAUACAUGCAAGUCGAGCGAACGGACGAGAAGCUUGCUUCUCUGAUGUUAGCGGCGGACGGGUGAGUAACACGUGGAUAACCUACCUAUAAGACUGGGAUAACUUCGGGAAACCGUAGCUAAUACCGGAUAAUAUUUUGAACCGCAUGGUUCAAAAGUGUAAGACGGUCUUGCUGUCACUUAUAGAUGGAUCCACGCUGCAUUAGCUAGUUGGUAAGGUAACGGCUUACCAAGGCAACGAUGCAUAGCCGACCUGAGAGGGUGAUCGGCCACACUGGAACUGAGACACGGUACAGACUCCUACGGGAGGCAGCAGGAGGGAAUCUUCCGCAAGGGGCGAAAGCCUGACGGAGCAACGCCGAGUGAGUGAUGAAGGUCUUCGGAUCGUAAAACUCUUUUAUUAGGGAAGAACAUAUGUGUAAGUAGCUGUGCACAUCUUGACGGUACCGAAUCAGAAAGCCACGGCUAAGUACGUG
rnacentral:rRNA from 1 species